rnacentral:rRNA from 1 species
UGGGGAAGUCUUAGUCAAUGGGCGCAAGCCUGAUCUAGCCAUGCCGCGUGAGCGAUGAAGGCCUUAGGGUUGUAAGCUCUUUCGUGGGGAAGGCUGUACCCCAAGAAGAAGCCCCGGCUAACUCCGUGCCAGCAGCCGCGGUAAUACGGAGGGGGCGAGCGUUGUUCGGAAUUACUGGGCGUAAAGCGCACGUAGGCGGACUGGAAAGUCAGGGGUGAAAUCCCGGGGCUCAACCCGGAACUGCCUUUGAAACUCCCGGUCUUGAGGUCGUGAGAGGUGAGUGGAAUUCCGAGUGUAGAGGUGAAAUUCGUAGAUAUUCGGAGGAACACCAGUGGCGAAGGCGGCUCACUGGCACGAUACUGACGCUGAGGUGCGAAAGCGUGGGGAGCGAAAC